rnacentral:rRNA from 1 species
GGGACACGUGGUAUCCUGUCUGAAUAUGGGGGGACCAUCCUCCAAGGCUAAAUACUCCUGACUGACCGAUAGUGAACCAGUACCGUGAGGGAAAGGCGAAAAGAACCCCGGCGAGGGGAGUGAAAAAGAACCUGAAACCGUGUACGUACAAGCAGUGGGAGCACGCUUAGGCGUGUGACUGCGUACCUUUUGUAUAAUGGGUCAGCGACUUAUAUUCUGUAGCAAGGUUAACCGAAUAGGGGAGCCGAAGGGAAACCGAGUCUUAACUGGGCGUUAAGUUGCAGGGUAUAGACCCGAAACCCGGUGAUCUAGCCAUGGGCAGGUUGAAGGUUGGGUAACACUAACUGGAGGACCGAACCGACUAAUGUUGAAAAAUUAGCGGAUGACUUGUGGCUGGGGGUGAAAGGCCAAUCAAACCGGGAGAUAGCUGGUUCUCCCCGAAAGCUAUUUAGGUAGCGCCUCGUGAAUUCAUCUCCGGGGGUAGAGCACUGUUUCGGCAAGGGGGUCAUCCCGACUUACCAACCCGAUGCAAACUGCGAAUACCGGAGAAUGUUAUCACGGGAGACACACGGCGGGUGCUAACGUCCGUCGUGAAGAGGGAAACAACCCAGACCGCCAGCUAAGGUCCCAAAGUCAUGGUUAAGUGGGAAACGAUGUGGGAAGGCCCAGACAGCCAGGAUGUUGGCUUAGAAGCAGCCAUCAUUUAAAGAAAGCGUAAUAGCUCACUGGUCGAGUCGGCCUGCGCGGAAGAUGUAACGGGGCUAAACCAUGCACCGAAGCUGCGGCAGCGACGCUUAUGCGUUGUUGGGUAGGGGAGCGUUCUGUAAGCCUGUGAAGGUGUACUGUGAGGUAUGCUGGAGGUAUCAGAAGUGCGAAUGCUGACAUAAGUAACGAUAAAGCGGGUGAAAAGCCCGCUCGCCGGAAGACCAAGGGUUCCUGUCCAACGUUAAUCGGGGCAGGGUGAGUCGACCCCUAAGGCGAGGCCGAAAGGCGUAGUCGAUGGGAAACAGGUUAAUAUUCCUGUACUUGGUGUUACUGCGAAGGGGGGACGGAGAAGGCUAUGUUGGCCGGGCGACGGUUGUCCCGGUUUAAGCGUGUAGGCUGGUUUUCCAGGCAAAUCCGGAAAAUCAAGGCUGAGGCGUGAUGACGAGGCACUACGGUGCUGAAGCAACAAAUGCCCUGCUUCCAGGAAAAGCCUCUAAGCAUCAGGUAACAUCAAAUCGUACCCCAAACCGACACAGGUGGUCAGGUAGAGAAUACCAAGGCGCUUGAGAGAACUCGGGUGAAGGAACUAGGCAAAAUGGUGCCGUAACUUCGGGAGAAGGCACGCUGAUAUGUAGGUGAAGUCCCUCGCGGAUGGAGCUGAAAUCAGUCGAAGAUACCAGCUGGCUGCAACUGUUUAUUAAAAACACAGCACUGUGCAAACACGAAAGUGGACGUAUACGGUGUGACGCCUGCCCGGUGCCGGAAGGUUAAUUGAUGGGGUCAGCGCAAGCGAAGCUCUUGAUCGAAGCCCCGGUAAACGGCGGCCGUAACUAUAACGGUCCUAAGGUAGCGAAAUUCCUUGUCGGGUAAGUUCCGACCUGCACGAAUGGCGUAAUGAUGGCCAGGCUGUCUCCACCCGAGACUCAGUGAAAUUGAACUCGCUGUGAAGAUGCAGUGUACCCGCGGCAAGACGGAAAGACCCCGUGAACCUUUACUAUAGCUUGACACUGAACAUUGAGCCUUGAUGUGUAGGAUAGGUGGGAGGCUUUGAAGUGUGGACGCCAGUCUGCAUGGAGCCGACCUUGAAAUACCACCCUUUAAUGUUUGAUGUUCUAACGUUGACCCGUGAUCCGGGUUGCGGACAGUGUCUGGUGGGUAGUUUGACUGGGGCGGUCUCCUCCUAAAGAGUAACGGAGGAGCACGAAGGUUGGCUAAUCCUGGUCGGACAUCAGGAGGUUAGUGCAAUGGCAUAAGCCAGCUUGACUGCGAGCGUGACGGCGCGAGCAGGUGCGAAAGCAGGUCAUAGUGAUCCGGUGGUUCUGAAUGGAAGGGCCAUCGCUCAACGGAUAAAAGGUACUCCGGGGAUAACAGGCUGAUACCGCCCAAGAGUUCAUAUCGACGGCGGUGUUUGGCACCUCGAUGUCGGCUCAUCACAUCCUGGGGCUGAAGUAGGUCCCAAGGGUAUGGCUGUUCGCCAUUUAAAGUGGUACGCGAGCUGGGUUUAGAACGUCGUGAGACAGUUCGGUCCCUAUCUGCCGUGGGCGCUGGAGAACUGAGGGGGGCUGCUCCUAGUACGAGAGGACCGGAGUGGACGCAUCACUGGUGUUCGGGUUGUCAUGCCAAUGGCACUGCCCGGUAGCUAAAUGCGGAAGAGAUAAGUGCUGAAAGCAUCUAAGCACGAAACUUGCCCCGAGAUGAGUUCUCCCUGACUCCUUGAGAGUCCUGAAGGAACGUUGAAGACGACGACGUUGAUAGGCCGGGUGUGUAAGCGCAGCGAUGCGUUGAGCUAACCGGUACUAAUGAACCGUGAGG